rnacentral:rRNA from 1 species
AGCGAACGCUGGCGGCGUGCCUAACACAUGCAAGUCGAACGUGAAAAGGGAAACCUGAGUAAAGUGGCGUACGGGUGAGUAACGCGUAGGUAAUCUACCCCAGAAUCUGGAAUAACCUGCCGAAAGGCGGGCUAAUACUGGAUAGAGCGAGGGAACUCGUAAGAGAGUUUUUCGGGAAAGGGAGCCCGCAAGGGCCUUCGUUCUGGGAUGAGCCUGCGUCUCAUUAGCUAGUUGGUAAGGUAACGGCUUACCAAGGCGAUGAUGAGUAGCUGGUCUGAGAGGAUGAUCAGCCACACUGGAACUGAAACACGGUCCAGACUCCUACGGGAGGCAGCAGUGGGGAAUCUUGCGAAAUGGACGAAAGUCUGACGCAGCCAAGCCGCGUGAGGGAAGAAGGCCUUCGGGUUGUAAAGCUCUGUCGGAUGGGACGAACAUCUUCAUAGUGAAUAGCUAUGAGGACUGACGGUACCAUCAAAGGAAGCACCGGCUAACUCCGUG